AUGCCAUGGACGAUCCCUUCAUUACACCUAGGACCACUGCCUUACGGCUUCUCCGUAAGCAUUACAUCUUUGGAUUCCCCGAGGGCCAAAGAGAACACGGGACCGGAAGCGCUGACUCCCCCCGUGGUAUUUCCAGGGGCGGAGGAAGAUGGCGAAAUCCAUUGGCUAGUGGGAUCAGAAGAGGGCGGUUCACUCGGCCUGUGUCUGGGGCACUAUGGGUAUUGUAGUUCAGGGCUCCGCGGUCCUGCUUGCGGCGAGGAAUCUUGGAAGCCAGUGGGUCCAAGCUGGUCAGGGAAGCGCCUUGCACUGGGGCAUCAGGUUUGAGAUGCUGACUCUUGGCUAUAAGGACAGUAGACCUGACCUGAAUGUGACUCCCAUACCCAAACAAAUGGAAUAUGUUAACUACUUGAUGACCACGAGCACACAGGCCCAGGCCUCCUAGUACUUCUGACUGAUAAUGUUAGCACCUGUGACAUCAUCCUGUUACCUCACCUUCAGCCAGUCAAAGAAUUGUGUUUGAGCUGAUCACAUACCCUGCAACCUCCCUCCCUCACCUGGGUUUUAAAUAUGCUUUACCAAAACGAUUAGGGGAGCUUGUGGCUUUUUAGAGGAUGAGCCACCCAUCUCCUUGCACGGCCCUGAAAUAAACCUUUCUCUUCUCUAAACUCCAAAGUUUAGGUUUUUUUGGACUCACUGUACAUUAGACACAUGAACUUGUACUAAUAAGACAAGGGUUUCCAGUGUGGUCUUCUAGGUUCUCUUAAGCAUCAUGGUUGCCUCAGCUCCUCACAGUUUGUAGCACAAUAAAGCUAAACAACCAGACAACAGACACACUGCUAACGUCCUCCUGUGGCUCAUGACCUGAAUUAGACAAUAAUUUUUUUUUUUUUUUACCUUGUCAUAGCUUCUUAUACACUGUGUUAUGAAUCUACUGCAGCUUUUUGGUUGGUAACCAGAAAUUUUAAAACACAGGCUUAAUGCUCUUUUUAAUAUGGAAUAUGUGCCUCCAUUUUUACAAUUUACAUGUCUAAUGCAAAUCUGGUUUUUAAUAUUUAUAUGUAGCUUUGAAAAAAGCAAAAAAGAUGAUUUUUUUCUACAUAUUUUGCCCAUAUAUCUAAUUUGCAAAUGUGCUUUGAAUGGGAGUGUUGACUUCCUUUGUUAUGAUCAUUUUAACUUCUCAUAAGUUUAAC
rnacentral:lncRNA from 1 species